GCAGAUCUGCGCGUUAGAGACGAGAGAGAGAGAGAGAGAGAGAGAGAGAGAGAGAGAAGAGAUGGAGAUGGUCGAUCGAGAGAGAGAUCUGAUUUCUAGGGUUUUGCCGAUUGAUUCCUUGUCUGCUUUCGGUCCUAUCAACAAGCGAUUUAGGAACAGACAGUGGAUGAUUUACAAGGCUUCAAGGCUUAGUUUCAAUUUCUUCUGUCCAGAGCUCCUACAGGUACCUCUCUGUCUCCCCUUUAUUUUCUCUCUCUCUCUCUCUCUGAAUCAGAUAUUUUUUUUCUUGGUAAUGGUGGUGGUCGUGACAGAGCUUGUGGUCAUGACCAUAGAAGGCGUUCGUGAGCAGUGGAGUCGUUUCUGAGAAAAUGCGGUGGUCAUGAGCAUAGGCGGCAGCGGCGGUCGCGAGCAGAGGAGGCGGAGAAGAAGACGCCCCGGAGAUGGAGGCGGAGAACACGCACCGGAGAUGGAGGCGGCUUGGUUUGAUUAUUAGGUUUUCUGGUUUUGGUUAAUUUGGUUUAGUUUUCUGGUUGUAUGUUUAGAUUAGUAAACCAAGUCUGGUUUAAUUUUUCUUGUUGGUUUAAUAUUGUAAAACCAGUUUUGUUUGUAUACUGAUUUUAUUUAUAAUAAAUAUUUAUUUUAAUUAUAA